UACGAAGGGGGCUAGCGUUGUUCGGAAUUACUGGGCGUAAAGGGCGCGUAGGCGGUACUUCAAGUCAGGCGUGAAAUCCUGGAGCUCAACUCCAGAACUGCCUUUGAUACUGGGGAUCUCGAGUCCGGGAGAGGUGAGUGGAACUCCGAGUGUAGAGGUGAAAUUCGUAGAUAUUCGGAAGAACACCAGUGGCGAAGGCGGCUCACUGGCCCGGUACUGACGCUGAGGUGCGAAGGCGUGGGGAGCAAACAGG
rnacentral:rRNA from 1 species